rnacentral:tRNA from 1 species
GGGGCCAUAGCUCAGCUGGGAGAGCAACUGCCUUGCACGCAGGGGGUCAGCGGUUCGAUCCCGCUUGGCUCCACCA